rnacentral:rRNA from 1 species
AAAGACUAAGGUUUCCUCAGCUAUGCUAAUCAGCUGAGGGUUAGUCGGGACCUAAGGCGAACCCGAAAGGGACAGUCGAUGGCCAACGGGUUAAUAUUCCCGUACUUCUUAUAGUUGUGAUGGAGUGACGGAGUGAUGAAAGUACCGCGAACUGACGGAAUAGUUCGUUGAAGCACCUAGCUAUAGGUCCUGUAGUUAAAUGCGCAGGAUUUGGUGAAAUGCGAUAGUACUCGGAGUCUUCGGACAAAGAGAUAGUGUACCUAAGGGCUUCCAAGAAAACCUUCUAAACUUAGAUUAUAAGAACCCGUACCGCAAACCGACACAGGUAGUCGAGGAGAGAAUCCUAAGGUGCUCGAGAGAUUCAUGGCUAAGGAAUUAGGCAAAAUAGACCUGUAACUUCGGGAGAAAGGUCGCCAGCAGCAAUGCUGGCCGCAGUGAAAAGGUCCAGGCGACUGUUUAUCAAAAACACAGGGCUCUGCAAAAUCGUAAGAUGAAGUAUAGGGCCUGACACCUGCCCGGUGCCGGAAGGUUAAGAGGAGAUGUUAUGGGUAACCAGAAGCAUUGAAUUGAAGCCCCGGUAAACGGCGGCCGUAACAAUAACGGUCCUAAGGUAGCGAAAUUCCUUGUCGGGUAAGUUCCGACCUGCACGAAUGGUGUAACGAUCUGGACACUGUCUCAGCCAUGAGCUCGGUGAAAUUGUAGUAUCGGUGAAGAUGCCGAUUACCCGCAGUGGGACGAAAAGACCCUGUGCACCUUUACUAUAGCUUAGUAUUGACCUUGGAUAAGUGAUGUGUAGGAUAGGUGGGAGACUAUGAAGUGGCGUCGCCAGGCGUUGUGGAGUCAUUGUUGAAAUACCACCCUUUGCUUAUCUGAGGCCUAACCCCGCUUGUGUGGGGGACAUUGCUUGGUGGGUAGUUUGACUGGGGUGGUCGCCUCCAAAAGAGUAACGGAGGCUUCUAAAGGUUCCCUCAGCACGCUUGGUAACCGUGCGUAGAGUGCAAUGGCAUAAGGGAGCUUGACUGAGAGACAUACAGGUCGAUCAGGUACGAAAGUAGAGCAUAGUGAUCCGGUGGUUCCGCAUGGAAGGGCCAUCGCUCAAAGGAUAAAAGGUAC